rnacentral:misc_RNA from 1 species
GUGAAUCAUCGAAUCUUUGAACGCAAAUUGCACUUUCUGGUAUUCCGGAAAGUAUGCCUGUUUGAUGGUCAGUUAAAUAAAAAUCGCUGUUGUUGCUGCUAUUCUUUGUGACGCGUCUGAAUUGAGUACUCUUACCUUCCUUUACGGGACUUAAAAUCUCGCAUGAUUCUCGAACGUAUUUUA